rnacentral:lncRNA from 1 species
AAGGACGAGAGAAAAGCACGGUGCCCCUCGAGUCCUCUCCGCCCCCUCGGUCCUAACCCCCGCCCAGGCUCCAGGUCUUCCCCUUUGUGUGGCCUGGACUCUCUCCCAGCUACGACUUUGGUGGGAUCCAAAAGGAAGGAGGUGGCGGGGCCUACGGAAGAGGAUACCCAGGAGCCAGGGAGAAGGGCUAGAAAACGAAUAAUGUGACUCCAGAGGCGGAACCCCGACCCCCUCUAUUUCCCACCCCGGCUUCACCCGGAGACGAAAGCUGUGGGCAUCUUCAGUUUAACGGACUUCGCGGAAAAGGAGAGAAGGGGGGCGAGGGAAAUGGCAGUUUGUGUCCCAGGGGUUCUUCCCCUUCUUCUUGCCGCCUCCUAAAGACAAACAAACUCAACCCCCCACCCUCCGGGGUAUCAGGGAACUCGUGGGACCGUGAAAAAGUCGUUCCCAAAUCCGGCCGCCUGCGGACGUCGGACUUCCGCGGGGCCGGCGCCCGUUGGCGUCUGUAGCUCGGCGCAGCCACGCGGGGCUCCAGCGAGCGGGGUCCGCCACCCCUCGCGCCCUCCUGCGGCUUUCCCAGCGCUGGGCCAGUGCAGGCCGAGCCCUGCGUCCCUGCCUCGCUGGGUGGGGGUCCGGGGCGCGGCUGUCCACAGGGCCGCCUCCUCCUGCGGCCCGCGGGGAAGGGGCGCAUCCCACCCCGCUCUGCAGGCCGCCCUUCUGCCAGCUGGGAGGCGAGGGCACACGUCCUAAGGCUGCCCAAGGGGGAGAGGAAUCGCGCCGGUAGGAGAGCGCACGGGAACCAGGAACGCAAGGCGGGCACAGGGGAGCCGAAGGAGCCAGACAGGGCCCGGCCACGCGCCCUCCUCGCUCGGCUGCGCUCCGUGACGGGAACCCAGGCUCCCACGCACGGGGAAUGCCUAGAACGGAGCUAGAAUGGAGGAAAACCAGUUUGGCUAUUAAGGGAACCUGUCGACACAGAGCAGAGCAAGAUAAGGCCAGGUUUCAGAAAGAAUAGCUGUUUACCAUCAAAGCAACUGGGUUCCACACAGACAUGGUAUAUUAUACACAAAGACGAAGGAUAUGGGUCCACUCUCCGUCAAGGAAUGUUAUAAAUCCACGUGGUGUCCCUGGGUGUCAGGCUUGGCCAGAACAUCUGUGGCUGGAGAAGCCAAUGUGGCUCAGGAGCUCCCUGCUGGCUGCACAUCUGAACGGCUUCAGGAGUACAAGUUUCCCCAUCAAAGGUUUGGAAUAAAUUACACUAAAAAAUUG